CUUCUCCCGGACAGUCGCGUGCACUUGCACUCAGGCGCUGCCCGAAGUAGGUUUUCCCUUAAGGUUGCGGAUGUGCAGUCUGCGUGCUGCACACGUUUUCUCUGGGACCUCGUUUCGUCCUUCCAGCAGCCUUGUGAGGAAGCAUUGUGUCAUCCCUGGUGUUCGGAUGAGGAAACAGACUCAGAGUGAUUUGACCUUGACCCCACAACUACAAAAUGACAGCUGGGAUCUUGAACUGGGGACCCGGAUGCCACAUGGUCUUUUCCCUUCAGUAAAUGCGUGCUUUCCUUGUCCUGUCAGGUUAAACAAGGCCCCUGGACGUCCGGGGUGAAUUCUUACCGUGCAGCUAGUAGCAGUGGUCCUCAUGGCCUGAGUGUGGUGCUGGAGGAAGACGCAGUGUGGUGGCCAAGAAGUCCCUGGGUGGUGGCAAAGUCUUGUUUUUGGAGGGGCGCACCACGAUCCCCAAAAUCAACCCAACAAGCUAAGCUGUACCUCCUCUGGGGAGACGAUUUGCCUGAGAUAACUCCGUUGUGAGUGGAAAAGACAAGGACGCAUUGUUCAGUGGACGAUGCCAGAAGGAAUAUGCAAAAUGGGCUCAACCUCUUCAUUCCGAGAGAAGAACACGUUUCUGCUGACUGGUCUCUUCAAGAGACCACACGUGGGCCUUCGGUGCUUGUUGGCACAGCAAGACUUCUCCAGUCCAUUGACUCCCAUCUUUCCCAGAGAGCUAUGGGUGAAGCCAGCACCGCCAGAGUGAAAAGGGAUUCUGAGUGAUAGAAUGCUUAGGAUUCUGAUGGGUGCACCUGUCACAUUGGAGAGCAAGAUUUCAGAGGCAGAGGGAUUCAGGGGAAGUCCAGGCCCUGGCACCGUCAUGGGAGAGGGUGACUGAACCUCACUGGAAUACAGGAGUUAAGGCAGAGAGUGGCUGGGAGACAAAGGAGGCACCUGUGGGAAUGUGGAACCCCUCCCUCAUGGUGACAGACUCUGGUGGUGGCAGCAGUGCCACCUGCCCAGUGAUGCCUGGUGACCCAAGGAGCCAGUGGUUUAGACCAUCCUGGAGAUAAGAGGCGCAAAUGGAGAAGUAGGCCAUGAGAGGCCCAAUCAUCAUGAAAAUUAUUUGGGUGACACAUGGGCAGAGUGUCUACCUGCGGUUGCUGCCUUUCCUGUCCCAAGACGCAGAGACACAGGUAAACCUCAGAUGCCAACCUCUCUGGUGUUGACAGCGCAUUCCAGGUCUUUCUCGGAAAACAGCCCCUUCUGUCUCAAAAGGGUCCACAGAUGGGGCAAGCUGAGGACAUCUUCCCAAGCCAUAGAAAGCAACACCCAGCCCCGGGAGCCGUUGGACCUGCAGGGCUAUAUUUCACUCUUGGAUGGCAGUCAGCAGAUUCUUAAACUCACUCCCUAGCUCCUACCCUGGGGCUGCUAUUCUGCUACUAUUCAAGGCUCAAAUGCCACCUCAUGCUGCUGGUCCCAACUGGGGACUCUGAGCCCCUCAGAGGCAUCUCUCAAAUAAAACCCAACACCACACUUCCGCACACUCAUUGUGUGGAGUGGUCUCACUCCACUGGGCUCUAUCGAAGCUGCAAAUUCCAGAUUUCUCUCUCUUGUGUUUUUGAACCUGUUUGCUUUUGAUUAUGGUUUGGUUUUGAAAGGGAAGAGUCACACACGAUCCAGCUCCCUGUUUCCUUUCUCAGAUGGAGUAAUAAAGCUUAUUUAUAGUGGAACUGUUUUUUUUUCCAUUAUGGCAUAUUUAAUUUUAUUACUCUACUGCCUUGUGCUUUGAAUUACAUAGGGGAAGCAACGCGUAACAGAAUAUUCCGUUGGUUUUCUUUUUUUCCCCUCGGGUAGUUGAUUGUGGAAAAAAAGGAUGUAGCAUCCUAUUAGUCAUUCUGUACCAUGAUGAUUUUUUUGCCUGUGACCAACAAAAUUACAUUUUACACUCGAAUGAACUCUCCAAAUGGACCCUUCUCUUCAACAUAUGUGGACAUAAGAUUCAAAGUAUGGCCAACCCCAUGCAUCACAUCCAAAGUCCAUUUCAGCUGUGGUUGAUGGUUCUCUCCAGGAAUGCAAUAUGCUGCAAAGCACCAUGGUUUGGGCUUCUGAUGAGAAGUUUAAGCAUGCUAUUUAUUUUGUUCUUCUGUCUUUCUAUUCAAACCAUUUGAAAAGAUCACUGAACUCUAGGUAAUUUGGGACAGCCUUUGGUUAGUCACCUUGGCUCCUUAGCUUAUUUCUCCAUCACUCUGGUGGUCUUUGCUUUCUUAGGCUUGGAAAAAGGACAAGGAAAAUCUCUCUCUUUGGAACCAAGGAGGUUCCUUAAUUGCUCAAAUGGGCUUGCAACAGAUAUGGUUGUAUUUCACGUGAAGCUUUUUCACGUGUUCUAAAGUCUUAGGUUUGAAUCCAUGUUUCGUACCAUUUUUGACCAUGUUUUCUGACUAUGUUUUCUAUCAUGUCGGACCAACUAGGUACUUCAGUGAGAUGCUUCUACCUUUCGUUCGUUUCUAGGAGAGAACAUGGAAUCAGAGGGGAAGGUGUUUGCCAUACUCGAAAUCCCCACAAAUUAGGAGAAAGACUGAUCGAACCCUAUUGUUCUGUCUCAACUUCUACAAAUGAAAGGAAAGUGGAUUUUUAGCAACUUGUGAUGCUCUCCAAUAAAGAGUUGGCAAUGCUGAAUAUCCCAGUUUUCUGUGCUCAGUGGUCCCUCAGUUGCUUUGGAAAGCAUCCUACUAAUAUGGAGAAAUCAGAACCUUGGUAUACUGCUGAUAAGAAUGUAAAAUGGUGCAUCUGUUUUGGAAAACAGUCUGUCAGUUCCUCAAAAAGUUAGACAUAGAGUUACCAUGUGACCCAGCAAUCCUACCCCUAUAUAGGUAUAUAAAUCCAAGAAAACUGAAAAACGUUUGUCCACACAAAACUGAUACAUGAAAGGUCCAUAGUAACAUUAUUCAUAAUAGUCAAAAUGUAGAAACAACCAAAACGUCUAUCAACCAGUGACUGGAAAAUUAACAUGAUUAUAUCCAUACAGUGGAAUAUUAUUUGGUGGUAUAGAGGAAUUCUAGCAAGAUAUUUAAACCAAAAAUAAAAAUAAAUCAUUAGGGCAAUUUUUUACUUCGAAUCAAGGAAGGAUUUAUAGCUAAACAUAAUAAUAAUAAUAAUGCUUAUUUGUUUAUUAUAGUUACUAAUCUGCAUAUCUCAUUUGAUUCUCAUGAUAACCUCCAAAAAUAGUUUUUAUCAUUCCCAUUUUCAGACAAGGAAACUGAGGCUCAAAGAAAUGUGAUACUUUCUGAAGUCUCCCAGUCGUUCUGUGUGCCAAGCCUGGCCUUCUUACAGGUUCUGAAAUGUAUGAUGCCCUUGACCUCAGGCUGGCAGAGUAAGUUGGGGUUAGGGGUGGAAAGAACCCAUUGCAGUGUGGUUUUCGUGUGUUCCAACACAUAUUUCUUCAGGUGAAGAAGCAGACUGCGUAGACACAUGCAGUUCUCCAUAGUUCUUCAUAGUACACUUCUAGUCGGCAAUCGGAGAAAAGAUUCAAUAGUUUUGCACCUGCACCCCAGUAAUAAAUGGGGGGACAACCCUGAAUUCAUGGAUAAGAGGAAACUUUGUAAUACAUUAGUUCAGUCUUUCCAGUUACGCAUGGGUCAUUCUUCUCCCAUCCGUGGCUUGGUCUGGGUCAGAAGCUAGCUUCUUGGGUCCACGGAUGGAGUUCUUCUAGUCCGUUUUCAGGAGCCAAGUGGCUCCUGGUAGGGCCUGGGUUCAUGCCAGUGGCUCCUUCCAGCCACCAGCCUCCCCCGGCACAGCAGCCUGAGUUCCUCUGCCUGUACGGACCCCAGUCGUGGCCCCGAUGUCUCUCGCCUGUUUGAAGGGUUUGUUCCUGUUGGACUCUGCCAGGCUUUGUACCGUUCCUGACACUUUAGCAGUAGCUUGAGUGUUUUGUGUCACCUCUUUUUCUUCGGGCCUGUUUGCUUUUGAGCUCAGCUGUGUAACAAAAUUCUGUUGUUGUAUUUUAUUCAAUAUUUCCGUUCGUUCGGAGCAGGACAUCUUUCCUCAUCAGCUCAGUCUUCCACGUUGACCAGAAUGUCUACAUUUUUACUGUUUCUUUUGUGGCCUAAUUGUUAUGGACUGAAUGUUUGCAUCCCCCCAGAUGCAGAUGUUGAAGCCUCAUCCCCAAGGUGGGGGUGUGAGGAGGCGGGGCUUUGGUGGGGGGGUCAGGGUGGAGCCCUCUCCUAAUCUCCUUCACCCUAUUGAAAGCUAUAUACACAAUGGAAUAUGACUCAGCCAUCGGGAAGGAUGAACACCCAACUUUCGCAUCCACAUGGAUGGGACUGGCGGAGAUGAUGCCAAGUGAAAGAAGUCAAGCAG